rnacentral:lncRNA from 1 species
AAUAUGACAUAAAAAAAUGUUCAUAAAUUCCAAGCAACACCGACUGUUCCUAAAGCGAGUGGCAAAAAGCUUGGUGGUUGGUAUCCGAGGUUCCAAGGUAGAAUUCUAGUUGAUUCAUAUUUCUUGCUAAGUUUAUUUCUAAAUAAAAUAAACGAAGCGGGUAGCGUGCUACCUAUUUCUAAAAAAAUAUAUAUAUAAAAAUUCCAAGCAACUUUUUUUAAACUCUGAAAUUAAUUUAUUUUAAAUAUAGGGGCAAUUGCUUAUAUAUCCCUAAAAAAUUUCUGACUUUCUGAUUUACCCCUUUUAGAAGGCUAAUAUUGAAAAUAUCCUUUUUACGUACCAACCUAUGUGGCUAUGUCUAAUAUACUUAUAGAAUUAAAAUCUGUUAAUGAACUAUGUUAUUUCUAUGAAAUUAUUAUUUUGUCCUUUCAAAUAUAUUCUUCUAUAAUAACCGACUUUUCUUAUUACCCUUAAGUUAGGGGUACACAAAAGAUUUUGCGUUUUGAUUUUUUCAAAUAUACCCUUCUAUUAUUACUAAUAUUUCUUAUUUGCCCUUAAGUUAAGGACAAAAAUGACAUUUUAAUUUUUUUAACUGUGAUAGAUAUUUAACUCAUAUUUAAUCGAAAUUAACUUAACGGGAGUAACUGUAUGAAUAUUUUGGAAUAACAGAAGAAUAUACAAGGGGUAUAUUAGAAAAAAAAAAGAAAGAUAAAUAAAAUAUUUUUGAAGUAUAUGAAUAGGGCAAUGCACCGAGACAAAAAUCGUCAAAUUCCUCCUCCCCAUUUAAGUUAUGGCAUGACAAUAGCUAGAUGGGGAAUAAUAUAAAAAUAGCUAUAAUAUAUUAUUGAUGUGACGCUGUUAUAUUUUUACUUGUUUAUUUUAGGAAUCAGUUAGAAUUCGAACUUAAAAUUUUAUGUAUCAAUCAAAAGUCAUUUGUCACAGGAACGAUCGGUAAGAAAGAGUUUUUUUUUUUUUUUUAAAUAGAUAGCAUACUACCUACUUCAUUUAUUAUAUUUAAAAAUAAAUUUAAUUAAAAAUAUAAAUUAAUUAGGAUUCAAAUUUGGAAUAUGCUUUUUGCCACUU